GGCUUUGUGGUGUAAUGGUCAGCACUUUGGACUCUGAAUCCAACAAUCCCAGUUCGAAUCUGGGCAGGGCCU
rfam:Orchesella cincta Ocin01_Sc0457, whole genome shotgun sequence.